AUUGAACGCUGGUGGCAGGCCUAACACAUGCAAGUCGAACGAGUGGCGGACGGGUGAGUAAUGUCUGGGAAACUGCCUGAUGGAGGGGGAUAACUACUGGAAACGGUAGCUAAUACCGCAUACCAUCGGGUGUGCCCAGGUGGGAUUAGCUAGUAGGUGGGGUAACGGCUCACCUAGGCGACGAUCCAUAGCUGGUCUGAGAGGAUGACAGGCCACACUGGAACUGAGAGACGGUCCAGACUCCCACGGGAGGCAGCAGGGGGGAAGAUUGCAAGAUGGGCGAAAGCCUGAUGCAGCCAUGCCGCGAGGAUGAAGAGGGCCUUCGGGUUGUAAAGUAGUUUCAGCGGGGAGGCGUUACCCGCAGAAGAAGCACCGGCUAACUCCGUGCCAGCAGCCGCGGUAAUUC
rnacentral:rRNA from 1 species